UGAAGAAUCAUUCGCAAUGGACGAAAGUCUGACGAUGCAACGCCGCGUGGAGGAUGAAGGCCUUCGGGUUGUAAACUCCUGUUACGCUGUACGAAUUGCCGCGGGGCGAACAGCCUCGCGGCUUGACACAAAAGCGAGAGAAAGCCACGGCUAACUUCGUGCCAGCAGCCGCGGUAAGACGAAGGUGACAAGCGUUGUUCGGAAUCACUGGGCGUAAAGAGUUCGUAGGCGGUCUUGUAAGUCAGGUGUGAAAUCCUGCGGCUCAACCGCGGAAGUGCAUCUGAUACUGCGAGACUUGAGUGCAGGAGGGGAGAGUGGAAUUCCUGGUGUAGCGGUGAAAUGCGUAGAUAUCAGGAGGAACGCCGGUGGCGAAAGCGACUCUCUGGCCUGCAACUGACGCUGAGGAACGAAAGCUAGGGGAGCAAACGGG
rnacentral:rRNA from 1 species